AUCGGUGAUGUAGAACGGUAAAAGGGGAAGAAAUGGGAGUGGCAACUGGCAACCCUAAUUGAGUUGUGAUUGGAAUUUGAGAGGCGAAGAAGCAGAGAAUGGGACUUGGUGGUAAAGUUGGCGAUUAUGCUUUCAAGGCAUUCACUGCAACCCUUGGAGCCACCACCCUAUACCUCACCGCUACGUUCUCCGUCAAUCUCUACAGAGGCUUUGUCUGGCACAAUUCUCAGACUAAAUUUGACGAGCAAGAUGCUAAGGAGCAAGCUUCAUAAUUUAUUAUGGCAGCCACAUUGAUCAUGUUGAAUUUCAAGUCCUUUGUACAAGUAUGUGAACUCUUUUCUUGAAAAAACACUAAAUCUUAGUUGGGCAAAUAAUUCCAUUACGAGUGAUAAUAACUUGGCUAUCAAAAGCAGAUAGUAUGAUCUAUACCUUUUAUUUAUUUACUAGGGUGGAUAAUAGUUGUAUGGUGGGAUAUUGAUCGCCAUUUUGCCAUAUAGUUUAUUUGAUUUGACAUGAUAAAAUUAUGCCUGUGUUUGUAAGCUAUUCUAUAGGGCUAAUUUCAGGAAUUCGUUGUGCUAA